UUGAACGCUGGCGGCAGGCCUAACACAUGCAAGUCGAGCGGAUGAAGGGAGCUUGCUCCUGGAUUCAGCGGCGGACGGGUGAGUAAUGCCUAGGAAUCUGCCUGGUAGUGGGGGAUAACGUCCGGAAACGGGCGCUAAUACCGCAUACGUCCUGAGGGAGCAAGUGGGGGAUCUUCGGACCUCACGCUAUCAGAUGAGCCUAGGUCGGAUUAGCUAGUUGGUGGGGUAAAGGCCUACCAAGGCGACGAUCCGUAACUGGUCUGAGAGGAUGAUCAGUCACACUGGAACUGAGACACGGUCCAGACUCCUACGGGAGGCAGCAGUGGGGAAUAUUGGACAAUGGGCGAAAGCCUGAUCCAGCCAUGCCGCGUGUGUGAAGAAGGUCUUCGGAUUGUAAAGCACUUUAAGUUGGGAGGAAGGGCAGUAAGUUAAUACCUUGCUGUUUUGACGUUACCAACAGAAUAAGCACCGGCUAACUUCGUG
rnacentral:rRNA from 1 species